GACGAACGCUGGCGGCGUGCUUAACACAUGCAAGUCGAACGGAAAGGCCCUGCUUGCAGGGUACUCGAGUGGCGAACGGGUGAGUAACACGUGGGUGAUCUGCCCUGCACUUCGGGAUAAGCCUGGGAAACUGGGUCUAAUACCGGAUAGGAGCCAUUUUUAGUGUGAUGGUUGGAAAGUUUUUUCGGUGUAGGAUGAGCUCGCGGCCUAUCGGCUUGUUGGUGGGGUAAUGUCCUACCAAGGCGGCGACGGGUAGCCGGCCUGGGUGGGUGGACGGCCACACUGGGACUGAGAGACGGCACAGACUGCUACGGUAGGCAGCAGGGGGGAAGAUUGAACAAUGGGCGCAAGCCUGAUGCAGCGGGGCCGCGUGUGGGAUGACGGUCUUAGGGUUGUAAACCCCUUUCGCUAGGGACGAAGCUUUUUGUGACGGUACCUAGAUAAGAAGCACCGGCUAACUACGUG
rnacentral:rRNA from 1 species